ACAACAGGGAUUGCCCUAGUAACGGCGAGUGAAGCGGCAACAGCUCAAAUUUGAAAUCUGGCCUUAGGGUCCGAGUUGUAAUUUGUAGAGGAUGCUUUUGGUGCGGUACCUUCCGAGUUCCCUGGAACGGGACGCCAUAGAGGGUGAGAGCCCCGUACGGUUGGAUACCUAGCCUCUGUAAAGCUCCUUCGACGAGUCGAGUAGUUUGGGAAUGCUGCUCUAAAUGGGAGGUAAAUUUCUUCUAAAGCUAAAUACCGGCCAGAGACCGAUAGCGCACAAGUAGAGUGAUCGAAAGAUGAAAAGCACUUUGAAAAGAGGGUUAAAUAGCACGUGAAAUUGUUGAAAGGGAAGCGCUUAUGACCAGACUUUUGUCCGGCGGAUCAUCCGGUGUUCUCACCGGUGCACUUCGCCGGGCUGAGGCCAGCAUCGAUUUCUGUAGGGGGAUAAAGACUUCAGGAAAGUAGCUCCCUUCGGGGAGUGUUAUAGCCCGUUGUGUAAUACCCCUAUAGGGAUCGAGGUUCGCGCAUCUGCAAGGAUGCUGGCAUAAUGGUCAUCAGCGACCCGUCUUGAAACACGGACCAAGGAGUCGAACAUUUAUGCGAGUGUUUGGGUGUUAAACCCUCACGCGUAAUGAAAGUGAACGGAGGUGAGAGCCCUUACGGGUGCAUCAUCGACCGAUCCUGAUGUCUUCGGAUGGAUUUGAGUAAGAGCAUAACUGUUCGGACCCGAAAGAUGGUGAACUAUGCGUGGAUAGGGUGAAGCCAGAGGAAACUCUGGUGGAGGCUCGCAGCGGGUUCUGACGUGCAAAUCGAUCGUCAAAUCUGCGCAUGGGGGCGAAAGACUAAUCGAACCAUCUAGUAGCUGGUUACCGCCCGAAGUUCCCCCCUCAGGAAUAA
rnacentral:rRNA from 1 species